rnacentral:rRNA from 1 species
UACAGAGGUCUCAAGCGUUUGUUCGGAUUCAUUGGGCGUAAAGGGUGUGUAGGUGGCGCGGUAAGUCGGGUGUGAAAUCGUUGGAGCUUAACUCCGAAACUGCAUUCGAUACUGCCGUGCUUGAGGACUGGAGAGGAGACUGGAAUUUACGGUGUAGCGGUGAAAAUGCGUAGAUAUCGUAAGGAAGACCAGUGGCGAAGGCGGGUCUCUGGACAGUUCCUGACGCUGAGGCACGAAGGCCAGGGGGAGCAAAACGGGG